CCACUGAAAUUGCUUUAAGCAAUGACAGUUUUGAAGGUCAAAAUCUCUCUAUUCUGUCUGUAAAUCGCUUUUGGGUGAAGUGGAGGCUUCAACAAACAGCAAGACCUGAAAUAACUUUUGUUCAAAACACAUGGCAGAAUUUUUUAACCCUAAAACUACAUUGAGGACAAAUUUGGGCAAAAAUUAUUUAGUAUUUUAUAAUAAACCAUUAAUAGACUUGUCUACUUUUCCUAAGUUUGCCAACUGAGCACAUAUUAAAUCUAUUCCAAUGUAUUUUUCUAUUCAUCCCGGUAUCACGCGGUAUUCAGACUGACUGGAGUGCUGUGUGGAGAAGUUUACGUUGCAUCGCUGCCGGCGGCUAGUUUGUAUCCUCUGACACUUGCUUCACCUCACAUUUGUUCCUGGUCUUAAUAUUAGUGUAUUUUACUAUAGUUACCUAUCAUUGUCGUUGCCUAAUUUAUUAGAACUUUAUUUUCUAAAUUUUAUUAAUUGAAGCGUAACGCCGCUAGCAUAUUAGCGUGUUAGCUUGCCUUCUGUUUACAUUGUGGAAUAUCAUCUCCCCCUAUUUGUCUUGUGUGCUAACUGUUUCUCUUUUUAAGUGUAUAUACUAAGACUCAUCAAGCUACCUUGGUAAGUUAGGAUUGCACUUCAUACCCGGUUACCGCAGGAUGCAGUUCAUGCCCAGACCUGAUGACAGAGCUGAGAAUGGGAAGCGGUGACCUGAAAAGAGCUAAGAGGAUAGAGCUGGAUAAAGGACGCGACAACUUUGUUUUUCCUACAACAUUUAAAAUGCUAUUAGAUUGUUAAUGAUAAUCUUAAAUCCUUAAUUUUUAUAUUUUAUUAAGCCUUGUUGUGCAGGCACUGUUGAGCUUGUGCAGAGGCAGCAGCUUUUGCCAGAGGGGAACUGGAAUCCCCUGGUUGGGCCUGGGUUCCCCUGAGGUUUUUUUUCUCGAUGGGAGUUUUGGGUUCCUCACCACCGUUUGCAUAUUGUUUUGCACUAUCUGCCUGGCCGGGGGGGCUGCUUUCGAAUUCAUACUUGUAUUCAAUGUGUCUCAUGUACAGCUGCUUUGUAACAAUGAAAAUUGUAAAAAGCGCUAUAUAAAUAAAGUUGAGUUGAGUUGAGAGUA